rnacentral:rRNA from 1 species
UACGGAGGGUGCGAGCGUUGUCCGGAAUCACUGGGCGUAAAGGGCGCGUAGGUGGCCUGUGGAAGUCUGCGGUGAAAGCCCGGCGCUCAACGCCGGGUCGGCCGUGGAUACUCUCGGGCUUGAGCUUACUAGAGGCAGAUGGAAUUCCGGGUGUAGCGGUGGAAUGCGUAGAGAUCCGGAAGAACACCGGUGGCGAAGGCGGUCUGCUGGGGUAAUGCUGGACACUGAUGCGCGACAGCGUGGGGAGCAACAGG